rnacentral:misc_RNA from 1 species
CGAGCGCAUGAGUGGUUUUGGACCUGUGACUACCGGGAGGACCCCCGCUGUUGUGCGGCCGACUGUCGGUGCCAGUGUCCCUUCAAUGAUUGGCUAUUGUGUGCCUAUCAUUUCGAUGAGUGCUUGCGUGCUGCUACCAGUAACACUGGAAGUUGCAUUGCUAACUGUUGCUUUUGCCGUGCAUGCCCUUAGGUCAUGUCACGUCAACUAUGAAGUGUCCAUGGCGUUGCCUCGUGUAGCUAGCAGCAUAGGCUAGCGGCUUCAAGGCCACCUCAUGGAAGCUAAUGGUCUAGGAUGUGGCCAACUCAUAAGGCUGAAGGCGCUUCGGCACCUCAUGCCUAUGAAAAAUUGUCCGAUUGGAAACAACGACAGUAGGCUUGGUUGAUGCUUCGUGCGGAUGCCGCUGCU